AAUAAUAGCACAAGUCACUCUUACCGACUCAGUAUUGAUGCUGACAGGGUAUAGGUACCACAACAGAGAAGCUGCGGAGUGCUGGGUUCUCUCUCAUAUACUGUAAAUCAGAGUUGGAGCAGCUCACACUGCAAGAAGAAAAACUACAUGCUUGGACAGAAUUCAGAGGACUGAAAGGCUUUGUCUGAACACUAAAACUUCUUGAUUUGAAGAAUGUUACUGUAGUCCUCCUCCAACAUUAUAAUCUGGAUGCCUUCUGGUCCUGUUCUGCAAGGCUGAGGCUGCCUACCUCCUUCAACACUGUGCCAUGGUCUUUCCUUUUUGAAGGGAGUGCUGGAAAUAGGGAAUCCCUCAAAGUGGUAAGUCUAGUUGAUAGAGGAGAUCUGCCACAUAAAGCAGAUCAAACAUUCCCUGAAGUGUGGUAGAAGGCAGGAAGAAUGACACUUGCUAAUUUGAAUUUCAGAAAGCACCUAAACCACAUUCUGAUC